rnacentral:lncRNA from 1 species
CGAUUCACUAAGGCAAAACAUCUUUACAACCAAGAAAUCAUCGUUGUAACAUCAGAUGAAAACUCGGCGGUAUUCAUUAGUUAAAAUUGCGCGAUCGUAGCGCCUCAACGAUGUUGACGGCGCGUCAUAGAACUAACAUUUGGUGCCAAAUGUAUGAAAAUCGGUAUUCAGCAACACGAAACAUCCUCGCCUGCAACGACAACCUCGCCUUCGCCUUCGAUUUUAUCUGUCAAACCGAAAAGCUUGUAAAUUGUGGAUGUUUUCUUGGAUGAAGGCGAUUAAAAUAUGGCAGUUCGUCUUUCCUGUAUGAUUUUUCGUUGGAAGACACUAAACAUCAUGAUAAUUAAAUAAAUAAGAAGUCAGGCCUCCGUGA